AAUUUUCAACCCAGGGCUGAGUUCAACCCCGGGGUUGAAAUUUCAACCCUGCUUCAGCUAGCCGUGUUGAAAUUUCAACCCCGGGGUUGAACUCAGCCCUGGGUUGAAAA